rnacentral:rRNA from 1 species
GGGAUCAUUACACAAUAAAAUACGAAGGCCGUUCGCGGCUGGACUAUUUAUUACCCUUGUCUUUUGCGCACUUGUUGUUUCCUGGGCGGGUUCGCUCGCCACCAGGACCACAAUAUAAACCUUUUUUAUGCAGUUGCAAUCAGCGUCAGUAUAACAAAUGUAAAUCAUUUACAACUUUCAACAACGGAUCUCUUGGUUCUGGCAUCGAUGAAGAACGCAGCGAAAUGCGAUACGUAGUGUGAAUUGCAGAAUUCAGUGAAUCAUCGAAUCUUUGAACGCACAUUGCGCCCUUUGGUAUUCCAAAGGGCAUGCCUGUUCGAGCGUCAUUUGUACCCUCAAGCUUUGCUUGGUGUUGGGCGUUUUUGUCUUUGGCCCGCCAAAGACUCGCCUUAAAAUGAUUGGCAGCCGGCCUACUGGUUUCGCAGCGCAGCACAUUUUUGCGCUUGCAAUCAGCAAAAGAGGACGGCAAUCCAUCAAGACUCCUUCUCACGUUUGACCUCGGAUCAGGU